rnacentral:rRNA from 1 species
GGAUUAGAUACCCUGGUAGUCCACGCCGUAAACGAUGAGUGCUUGUUGUUGGAAACGUCAAUCUUUUCAGUAACGAAGCUAACGCGUUAAGCACUCCGCCUGGGGAUUACGGUCGCAAGAUUAAAACCCAAAGAAAUUGACGGGGACCCGCACAAGGAGUGGAGCAUGUGGUUUAAUUCGACGACGCGAAGAACCUUAUCCUGGUCUUGACAUCCUCGGACAACCUGUGAAAGCAGGCUUUAUCUUCGGAUACUGAGUGACAGGUGCUGCAUGGCUGUCGUCAGCUCGUGUUG